GACAGAGGGUGCAAACGUUGUUCGGAAUUACUGGGCGUAAAGCGAGUGUAGGCGGUUUGGUAAGUCGGAUGUGAAAGCCCCGGGCUCAACCCGGGAAGUGCACUCGAUACUGCCAAGCUAGAGUAUCGGAGAGGUUGGUGGAAUUCUCGGUGUAGAGGUGAAAUUCGUAGAUGUCGAGAGGAACACCGGUGGCGAAGGCGGCCAACUGGACGAAUACUGACGCUGAGACUCGAAAGCGUGGGGAGCAAACAGG
rnacentral:rRNA from 1 species